rnacentral:rRNA from 1 species
CCUACGGGUGGCAGCAGUGAGGAAUAUUGGUCAAUGGUCGGGAGCCUGAACCAGCCAAGUCGCGUGAGGGAUGAAGGUACAGAGUAUCGUAAACCUCUUUUGUCAGGGAAUAAAGGCGGGGACGUGUCCCCGGAUGAGUGUACCUGAAGAAAAAGCAUCGGCUAACUCCGUGCCAGCAGCCGCGGUAAUACGGAGGAUGCGAGCGUUAUCCGGAUUUAUUGGGUUUAAAGGGUGCGGAGGCGGUCUGUUAAGUCAGCGGGAAAAGCCCGGGGCUCACCCCCGGCCCGCCGUUGAAACUGGCAGUCUUGAGUUGGAGAGAGGUAUGCGGAAUGCGCGGUGUAGCGGUGAAAUGCAUAGAUAUCGCGCAGAACUCCGAUUGCGAAGGCAGCAUGCCGGCUCCACACUGACGCUGAGGCACGAAAGCGUGAGUAUCGAACAGGAUUAGAUACCCUAGUAGUC